rnacentral:rRNA from 1 species
CCUACGGGGGGCAGCAGUGGGGGAUAUUGGACAAUGGGGGGAACCCUGAUCCAGCGACGCCGCGUGAGUGAAGAAGUAUUUCGGUAUGUAAAGCUCUGUCAGCAGGGAAGAAAGAAAUGACGGUACCUGACCAAGAAGCCCCGGCUAACUACGUGCCAGCAGCCGCGGUAAUACGUAGGGGGCAAGCGUUAUCCGGAAUUACUGGGUGUAAAGGGAGCGUAGACGGUUAAGUAAGUCUGGAGUGAAAGGCCGGGGCCCAACCCCGGGACUGCUCUGGAAACUAUUGAACUUGAGUGCAGGAGAGGUAAGCGGAAUUCCUAGUGUAGCGGUGAAAUGCGUAGAUAUCGCGCAGAACUCCGAUUGCGAAGGCAGCGUACCGGCGCCAGACUGACGCUGAGGCACGAAAGCGUGGGGAUCGAACAGGAUUAGAUACCCGAGUAGUC